GACGUAGGGGGCCAGCGUUGUUCGGAAUUACUGGGUGUAAAGGGUUCGUAGGCGGUGCGGCAAGUUGGGAGUGAAAUCUCUGGGCUUAACCCAGAGGCUGCUUCCAAAACUGCUGUGCUUGAGUGUGGAAGAGGCGCGUGGAAUUGCAGGUGUAGCGGUGAAAUGCGUAGAUAUCUGCAGGAGCACCCGUGGCGAAAGCGGCGCGCUGGACCACUACUGACGCUGAGGAACGAAAGCUAGGGGAGCAAACAGG
rnacentral:rRNA from 1 species